rnacentral:lncRNA from 1 species
UGCUUCAUACCCUAAAUGAGUUAAAAAAACUUCUAAUCACAUUUAUAUUAAAUAUACCUUCAAAAUGUAAGUUGAAGAAGGAUGUUGACUUUUACCAAAGACAUCAGAAAUUAAGAUGAGUGCCAAUUUAGAAUGAGGGGGACCAGUGACAUAAGAUUGAAGUCCUCCAAGUUGAAGGACUGCCCAAUCCAUUGAAACUUGAGGUUCAGGUUGGUGGAUUCUCAACACAAUGGGAACUUGACAUGUCUCUUAGAAGAAUUGAUAGAGAGGGCUAAUGGAAAUGUUGUUAUCACAAAAUAUAUCCUCUUAUAUAAUAAGAGUUCCUUGCAUAAAAAGAAAACAUUUUAUUAAAAAAACCAAAAAGCAUUUUAGGCUUAAAAAACGUCAUUGAAUACGUAACAACAUUCUAUUACUUUAGUAUAAGAAAUGGACUAUGUGGUCAGAAUUGGUUAAAAGGACAUUCUUAUCUUGGGUAAUAAGUUGCCAACCAUAUAAACAUGAAUUAUAUUUGUACACUUAAAAUUGGUGUCUAAAAGGUGCCUCUUUGUUCUUUUAAGAUGUAUUAGAGUAUUUUCGAAAUCGAGACAUUAGUAUAUCAGGUUAAAUAUGGUGUUUUAAGUUUAAUGUUCAAAUAUAGAUAUCUCUAUAAAUAUUUAUUGUGUAUUGUGUAUGUGUUAAUGUGUUUCAUCGAUAUAGAGUCAAUUUAUUUUGCCUUUUUUUAAGAUGAUUUUUAUAGUAUAAUAACAAUUUUAUGUAAUUUUAUUUUAAAUAAUAAAAAAAUUUAAAUAAAAAUUUGGUUUAAAAUAAUUAGUUAUUCUAAAAUUUUAUUUUAGAUAUUUUAUCAUUUAUUAAAAAAAUUGAUAUUAGAAUUUUAAAAAAAUUUUAAUUAUUUAAAUUAUUUCAAAUAGCUUUUCAUAAAAAUCAUUUUUAAAUUAUAUUUUUUUUAAAAAUUGUGAUUUUUGAUUAUUUUUUAACCUUCAUAAUAUAUUAGUUUAUGUUAUAGAAGGUUAAAAUUAAUUAGAAAAAAUAAAUAUAAAGUUAAUAUUUUAAAAAAAUUUUAUAAAAUCCAUCUUAAAAAUAAAAUAUCCUUUUUUUAAAAAUAAAACAAACACACCCGGUAUUAGAUAGAUAUACUUUUAGUUAAUUAGGUUUACCUUCAAAUCAUGAAUUGUAAUUUUCACUUCCAAAUUCAUUUUUUUUGGAGAGAAAUCUACUAUAAUAUUAAUUCAAUUAAGUAAACUCAAACCCGAUUGAUAUUUACCCUAUUCUUAUUUAAUUCUAGAGAGUAAAAUCCCACCAUUAAAUUACUAGACGCCCAAAAAGGAUGCACUUUAACUAUUUUUAAAGUGCAUGGAGAAGAAAGAGCAAACACGCUGCUACUUUUCUUUCUUUAUUUUGCCAAAUAUUCAUAAUUAAGUAUUCAGGUCAUUUAGUAAUUUUUCUAUAUCUUUUAACACAUACAAAUAUUUUAUAAUUGAUUAUAUUUAAGAAUACAUUCUAUUUUUCCUAUCAUAUUUUAAAAAAGUUUGGGGUGAGAACCUUAUUUGUCGAGUGUCAAUCUUAUGAUACAUUUCAAGUAAUUAUUAUUCUUACCGAGUAAAUCUAGGGGAUAGUCAGUGAAUAAAUAUGACGGUAACAUAACUGACUCAAAAUAGUGAUGGAGAACCUAUCUAAUUUGGAUGCACUUCAUGUAGCUUGGAAAGGUGUUAGAACGGAUGCUUCUAGAUACAUGAAUAAUUGGUGUGGUAGCUCGGAAGGAUGACCUCAAGGGUGCCAUAUUGGAGAUUUAUUUUUUCAUUCUUAGGUGUGACUCAUAUUUUUGAAUAUACAAAAUAUUCUACAGGUAUAUUUAGAGAAUAAUCUCCAAACGCAUUUGAAUCACAUCAUCCUUCGUAAAUCAAGUAGCCACCAUAUUUUUUUGUCAAAAAUUGGUUCAGAGAUGUAUCUGCAAAUAUUUUUGGGUUGAAUUCGAAGAUGCAUAUCCGAAAACUUAUCUGCAUGCAUCUUGGACAUAAACAUUGUCUUAAGUUUGUAUUUUUUUAUAUUCAAAGUCAUUUUAAUUUGACUAACAAUGACAUAAUUUGAUUCAAACAUUAAUAAACUUGUACAUCAUAGAACAAGGCAAUACAUUAAUUAAAAAAUAGCUCAGAAUAUCACAAAUAUUAUUCUCGAAGUAUGGAAAAUAAUACAAAAGUUCCCAAAAUACAAAUAAUAGCAUAGCCUAUUGCACAUGCCUAAUCCUAACCCCCUGACUCCUCCUUUUCCCUGCUAACCCAAGAAUUAUGCGCCUCAGUAAUAAUGGAACGCGCUAGGGCAUAUCAUCAUCAUCACCUCUCUCAAGAAACCUAGAUUCUAUGCCACAUACGUAAUCCGCAUAAUAUUUUGGCAGAUCGACGCACACAUCAAUGACAUGGUUAUCUAUGGCCUACUAAUUCUCUCAGGAUCUCCUCAAUGAGGAGACCCUAGGUGGACGUACAGAGUGUCUGAUGUCAUGACAGGGGUGUGAAACAACUAUAGGACUAAGUUGUAACACCCUUCUAACAUACCCCAAAUAUUAAUAACAACAACAAGUAUAUAUCAGAGUAAAUACACAAAACAAGGGUGUCACGUCUUCGAAAAUCACAUCUGUCAUGCUCUUUAUUAUAUCAACCAUAAAACAUUUCAAAAUACGCAGCGGAUAGAAAUUAUGUCAACCAAUUAAAACGUAUAACAUAUUACAUGAAAAAUAGUUCAACAACUGACAAUAAACAAUUAAAACAUCCCGUCUCGAUGUUACAUCUAUCAGAGCAUGACCCACAACGGAGACUACACUAGACUCCAAGCACUAGCUUCUACCUCACUCACUGCUCGUUACCUGAAAAAUAGUUGUAAGGGUGAGUUCCUCAAUCGAUAUAACAAACAUUAUAAUUUAUCAUGUUAUGUUAAGUAAUUUAACACGUUUCAUCACCCAAAUCAAUUACACACUUCAGUAACAGCACAUCAACUUCAAUAUCAUACUAAUAACAACAUAAAAUGCCAACUCAAAUGAGACUCGACUCGUCAUGCAUGUGGUACCAAUCGGAGUAAAACUCCAACUUAGAAUCUUGCCAUUUUAGUGGGCAUCAAGGCAUAAGCCUCACUUUCAACUUAAAAUUUUGCCAAUCCAGGCCAACGUGGUGUGAGCAAAGCUCCGACUUAAUGCAUAUGAAUGUAUAUGGCAUACACGACUUCAAACUUUCGACAACAUAAUAAUAACAGCAACAACAACGUUUUCAACAAAAUCAACUUGAAAUCAACUUUGGCUCAUCAAGCCUACAUACUCAGUAUUUUCAAACACUUUAAACAAACUUAUCAACAUAUUUGUAUCAACACUUCAUAACAUAAACUCAACAAAAUACUCAUCAAAUCAACGAUAAUAGGUCAAUCACAAUUAUGUUCACAAACAUUAAAAUAUCAAUUUUUCCAAUUUCCAACAGUGUUAACGGUUAACGCCCUGGGUUACCGGUUAACGCAGGAAAAAAUACAUUUUUUGCAAAACGCAACAGUGUUAACGCGGUUACGAGGCAAAACAGCACAUUUCCACAAAAAUAUAACAGUGUUAACCGGUUAACGCCCUGGGUUAACCGGUUAACGCAGACAAAACAGCAGUUUCUGCGCUAACACAAAGGCAGAAUGCAGAGUUUCCGCAUUUUCCGCCGUUGGAGGACUUCCGGACCUCCGAUUCAAUUCCGUAAAAAGCUACACUAUCGGAAAAUCACGACUCACACAAUUACCGAUUCAAUUACAGUAUUAAUGUAACACCCCAAAUAAAGUAAAAGAAUUAUUUAAUUAAGUUGAUAAUAUUAUUUUUAUUAUUUAAUAAAUAAAAUUGGAUUAUUAAGUAUUAAAUUAUUAUUAUUAUAUUAUUAUUUGGAAUAAUAAUAAUUGGAAAUAUAUAAGUUGGGAUAAGAGAAAAAGUUUCUCAUUUUUGGAACAGAAGGGUUUUACGUGGAAGUUGAGAAGCUGCUAGAGAAGGGAGAAGCUGUAGAGCAGCAGGUUGAAGAACGGAAAGGAUUGAAGCUCAAAGAUUUGCCGGAUUUAUCUCAGGUAAGGGGUUGAACCUUAUUAAAUGAUAAUAUGCGAGCAUGUUCAUGAUUUGUAGGAUUGUUGAUGGGAUUUUGGGGAAUUAGGAGAUUGGGGAAGUUGGGGUUUACCCGUCGUUAGUACUAUGAUGAAUAAGUCGAAUUAAGCUGAAUUGAAUCCGUAGUUGUGUGAGUUCGCGUUUUCCCGAACGCGUAGCCUUUUACGGAAGUUGAAUCGGAGGUCCGGAAGUCCUCCGGACGGCGGAAAAUGCGGAGAACUCUGCAUUCUGAUUCUGCCUUGUGUUAGCGCAGAAACUGCUGUUUUGUCUGCGUUAACCGGUUAACCCAGGGCGUUAACCGGUUAACACUGUUAUAUUUUGUGGAAAUGUGCUGUUUUGCCUGCGUUAACCGGUUAACACUGUUGCGUUUUGCCAAAAAAAUGUAUUUUUGUCCUGCGUUAACCGGUUAACCCAGGGCGUUAACCGGUUAACACUGUUGGAAAUUGGAAAAAUUGAUAUUUUAAUGUUGUGAACAUAAUUGGUGAUUGACCUAUUAUCGUUGAUUUUGAUGAGUAAUUUUGUUGAGUUUAUGUUAUGAAGUGUUGAUACAAAUAUGUUGAUAAGUUGUGUUAAAGUUGUUGAAAAUACUGAGUUGUAGGCUUGAUGAGCCAAAGUUGAUUUCAAGUUGAUUUUGUUGAAAACGUUGUUGUGUUGCUGUUAUUAUUAUGUUGUCGAAAGUUUGAAGUCGUGUAUGCCAUAUACAUUCAUAUGCAUUAAGUCGGAGCUUUGCUCACACCACGUUGGCCUGGAUUGGCAAAAUUUUAAGUUGAAAGUUGAAGGCUUAUGCCUUGAUGCCCACUAAAAUGGCAAUGAUUCUAAGUUGGGAGUUUUACUCCGAAUGGUACCACAUGCAUGACGAGUCGAGUCUCAUUUGAGUUGCAUUUUAUGUUGUUAUUGAGUAUGAUAUUGAAGUUGAUGUGCUGUUACUGAAUGUGUAAUCUGAUUUGGGUGAUGAAACGUGUUAAAUUACUUAACAUAACAUGAUAAAUUAUAAUGUUUGUUAUAUCGAUUGAGGAACUCACCCUUACAACUAUUUUUCAGGUAACGAGCAGUGAGUGAGUAGAAGCUAGUGCUUGGAGUCUAGUGUAGUCUCCGUUGUGGGUCAUGCUCUGAUAGAUGUAACAUCGAGACGGGAUGUUUUAAUUGUUUAUUGUCAGUUGUUGAACUAUUUUUCAUGUAAUAUGUUAUACGUUUUAAUUGGUUGACAUAAUUUCUAUCCGCUGCGUAUUUUUGAAAUGUUUUAUGGUUGAUAUAAUAAAAGAGCAUGACAGAUGUGAUUUUCGAAGACGUGACACCCUUGUUUUGUGUAUUUACUCUGAUAUAUACUUGUUGUUGUUAUUAAAUAUUUGGGGUAUGUUAGAAGGGUGUUACAACUUAGUCCUAUAGUGUUUCACACCCUGUCAUGACAUCAGACACUCCUGUACGUCCACCUAGGUCUCCUCAUGAGGAGAUCCUGGAGAAUUAGUAGGCCAUAGAUAACCAUGUCAUUGAUGUGUCGUCGAUCUGCCAAAAUAUUAUGCGGAUUACGUAUGUGGGCAUAGAAUCUAGGUUUCUUGAGAGAGGUGAUGAUGAUGUGAUUGCCCUAGCGCGUUCCAUUAUUACUGAGGCGCAUAAUUCCUUGGGUUAGCAGGGAAAAGGAGGAGUCAGGGGGUUAGGAUUAGGCAUGUGCAAUAGGCUAUGCUUUUAUUUGUAUUUUGGGAACUUUUGUAUUAUUUUCCAUACUUCGAGAAUAAUAUUUGUGAUAUUCUGAGCUAUUUUUUUAAUUAAUGUAUUGCCUUGUUCUAUGAUGUACAAGUUUAUUAAUGUUUGAAUCAAAUUAUGUCAUUGUUAGUCAAAUUAAAAUGACUUUGAAUAUAAAAAAAUACAAACUUAAGACAAUGUUUAUGUCCAAGAUGCAUGCAGAUAAGUUUUCGGAUAUGCAUCUUCGAAUUCAACCCAAAAAUAUUUGCAGAUACAUCUCUGAACCAAUUUUUGACAAAAAAUAUGGUGGCUACUUGAUUUACGAAGGAUGAUGUGAUUUCAAAUGCGUUUGGAGAUAUAUCUCUAAAUAUACCUUAGAAUAAUUUUGUAUAUUCAAAAAUAUGAGUCACACCUAAGAAUGAAAAAAUAAAUCUCCUAAUAUGGCACCCUUGAGGUCAUCCUUCCGAGCUACCACACCAAUUAUUCAUGUAUCUAGAAGCAUCCAGGUUCUAACACCUUUCCAAGCUACAUGAAGUGCAUCCAAAUUAGAUAGGUUCUACCAUCUAUUUUUGAGUCAGUUAUGUUAACCGGUCAUAUUUAUUCACUGACUAUCCCCUAGAUUUACUCGGUAAGAAUAAUAAUUACUUGAAAUGUAUCAUAAGAUUGAUCACUCGACAAAUAAGGUUCUCACCCCAAACUUUUUUAAAAUAUGAUAGGAAAAAUAGAAUGUAUUCUUAAAUAUAUCAAUUAUAAAAUAUUUGUAUGUGUUAAAAGAUAUAGAAAAAUUACUUAAAUGACCUGAAUACUUAAUUAUGAAUAUUUGGCAAAUAUAAGAAAGAAAAAGUAGCAGCGUGUUUGCUCUUUCUUCUCCAUGCACUUUAAAAAUAGUUAAAGUGCAUCCUUUUUGGGUCUAGUAAUUUAAUGGUGGGAAUUUUACUCUCUAGAUAUAAAUAAGAAUAGGUAAAAUAUCAUGGGUUUGAGUUUACUUAAUUGAAUUAAAUUAUAGUAGAUUUCUCUCCAAAAAAAAUGAAUUGGAAGUGAAAAUUACAAUUCAUGUAUUUGAGGUAAACCUAAUUAACUAAAAGUAUUAUCUAUCUAAUACCGGGUAUGUUUGUUUUAUUUUUAAAAAAAGGAUAUUUUUAUUUUUAAAGAUGGAUUUUAUAAAAUUAUUUUUUAAAAUAUUAACUUAUAUUUAUUUUUUCUAAUUAAUUUUAACCUUCUAUAACAUAAACAAUAUAUCAUUGAAGGUUAAAAAAUAAUCAAAAUCACAAUUUUAAAAAAAAUAUAUUUAAAAAAUGAUUUUUAUGAAAAGCUAUUUGAAAUAAUUUUAAAUAAUUAAAUAAUUUUUUAAAAUUCUAAUAUCAAUUUUUUUAAUAAAAUGAUAAAAUAUCUAAAAUAAAAUUUUAAGAAUAACUAAUUAUUUAAACCAAAUUUUUAUUUAAAUUUUUUAUUAUUUAUAAAAUAAAAUUACAUAAAAUUGUAUUAUACUAUAAAAAUCAUCUUAAAAAAAGGCAAAAUAAAUUGACUCUAUAUCGAUGAAACACAAUUAACACAUACACAAUACACAAUAAAUAUUUAUAGAGAUAUCUUAUUUGAACAUUAAACUUAAAACACCAUAUUUAACCUGAUAUACUAAUGUCUCGAUUUCGAAAAUACUCUAAUACAUCUUAAAAGAACAAAGAGGCACCUUUUAGACACCAAUUUUAAGUGUACAAAUAUAAUUCAUGUUUAUAUGGUUGGCAACUUAUUACCCAAGAUAAGAAUGUCCUUUUAACCAAUUCUGACCACAUAGUCCAUUUCUUAUACUAAAGUAAUAGAAUGUUGUUACGUAUUCAAUGACGUUUUUUAAGCCUAAAAUGCUUUUUGGUUUUUUAAUAAAAUGUUUUCUUUUUAUGCAAGGAACUCUUAUUAUAUAAGAGGAUAUAUUUGGUGAUAACAACAUUUCCAUUAGCCCUCUCUAUCAAUUCUUCUAAGAGACAUGUCAAGUUCCCAUUGUGUUGAGAAUCCACCCAACCUGAACUCAAGUUUCAAUGGAGUUGGGGCAGUCCUUCAACUUGGAGGACUUCAAUCUUAUGUCACUGGUCCCCCUCAUUCUAAAUUGGCACUCAUCUUAAUUUCUGAUGUCUUUGGUAAAAGUCAACAUCCUUCUUCAACUUACAUUUUGAAGGUAUAUUUAAUAUAAAUGUGAUUAGAAGUUUUUUUUAACUCAUUUUAGGGUAUGAAGCACCAAAUUUAAGGUAAAUAAAACUUUCACCAUUGUGGCUCCUUUGUAGGUGAGAUAAAGAUAAGUUAAAUUCUCUCAAUAAUUACAGGAUGCUUUUAGAAAGAGAAUGAACAUUCUUGAUAGAAUUAAUGUUAUAACUAUUAAGAAUUGACUUGCAAAAAGAAUUGAGUUUCUUUCAUUAUAAAGAAA